rnacentral:rRNA from 1 species
AUGAACGCUGGCGGCGUGCCUAAUACAUGCAAGUCGCGCGAACGGACGAGAAGCUUGCUUCUCUGAUGUUAGCGGCGGACGGGUGAGUAACACGUGGAUAACCUACCUAUAAGACUGGGAUAACUUCGGGAAACCGGAGCUAAUACCGGAUAAUAUUUUGAACCGCAUGGUUCAAAAGUGAAAGACGGUCUUGCUGUCACUUAUAGAUGGAUCCGCGCUGCAUUAGCUAGUUGGUAAGGUAACGGCUUACCAAGGCAACGAUGCAUAGCCGACCUGAGAGGGUGAUCGGCCACACUGGAACUGAGACACGGUCCAGACUCCUACGGGAGGCAGCAGUAGGGAAUCUUCCGCAAUGGGCGAAAGCCUGACGGAGCAACGCCGCGUGAGUGAUGAAGGUCUUCGGAUCGUAAAACUCUGUGAUUAGGGAAGAACAUAUGUGUAAGUAACUGUGCACAUCUUGACGGUACCUAAUCAGAAAGCCACGGCUAACUACGUG